GGCCGAACCAGGCUACACGCCCAGGCAGGCCGGCUCCUCGGCUGGCAGGCUGCCUCCAAGGUUGUCCCGCUGUCCCUCUAGAUGCUAUCCCCACCCUUUUCCUGUGUCAGGAGGAGGGUGACCCUUGCGUCCAAUCCUGCUCCGCCCAGCGCCCUUGCCCACAGGCUGCCUUUCCGCGCUGGGCAGUGGAGCGGCCAGGAGAGAUCAAAGGGAGGGAAGAGAGGAAGGUCUGUGUUAAUUCCCCCGACGCCCUCCCUGCCAGGUCACCCAGGCUGGCUGUGACCCUGGAAGGAAGGUCGCAGCCUCUGUCAGGGAAACCAACCAUCCCCGUGACUUCAGGGCCUUCCAGUCCUCUGGGCUCCCGACUUGCCGUCCCUUCUCCUUCACCCCCGGCUCUGCAGUGACCCCAGCACAUGUGUCCUGGAGCCAGUACUGUCCUGGAAGCCUGUGUAUCAGAUGUG
ensembl:lncRNA